CCUACGGGUGGCAGCAGUGAGGAAUAUUGGUCAAUGGCCGAGAGGCUGAACCAGCCAAGUCGCGUGAGGGAAGACGGCCCUACGGGUUGUAAACCUCUUUUGUCGGGGAGCAAAGCGAGUCACGUGUGACUUUUUGAAAGUACCUGAAGAAAAAGCAUCGGCUAACUCCGUGCCAGCAGCCGCGGUAAUACGGAGGAUGCGAGCGUUAUCCGGAUUUAUUGGGUUUAAAGGGGGCGCAUGGGGAUGGGCAAGUCAGCGGUAAAAUUGCGGGGCUAAACCCAGUACUGCCGUUGAUACUGCAUGCCUUGAGUGCGGUAGAGGUAUGCGGAAUGCGUGGUGUAGCGGUGAAAUGCAUAGAUAUCACGCAGAACUCCGAUUGCGAAGGCAGCAUACCGGCGCGCAACUGACGUUCAUGCACGAAAGCGUGGGUAUCGAACAGGAUUAGAUACCCGGGUAGUC
rnacentral:rRNA from 1 species